AAUCAACGCUGGCGGCGUGCCUCAGACAUGCAAGUCGAACGCGAAAGUCCCCUUCGGGGGACGAAGUAGAGUGGCGCACGGGUGAGUAACACGUAGGUAAUCUACCUUUGGAUGGGGAAUAACAACCGGAAACGGUUGCUAAUACCGCAUAAUGCAGCGGCACCUAAUGGUGACAGUUGUUAAAGCGGGGGAUCGAAAGACCUCGCGUCUGAAGAGGAGCCUGCGGCGGAUUAGCUAGNGGUAAGGUAAUGGCUUACCAAGGCUACGAUCCGUAACCGGCCUGAGAGGGCGGUCGGUCACACUGACACUGACAUACGGGUCAGACUCCUAC
rnacentral:rRNA from 1 species